rnacentral:antisense_RNA from 1 species
UUAAUCCGAAUCGAUAAGGAGCUGACCAAGACCAGUCUUCAUUUGGUAAAGAAAAAUUACUUUGAGUACUCAACUCUAAUUUAUCGAAAUUUUUUAUGACAAAUAUCAAGAGCCAAUAUACAAAUCCUGGAAGUAAAUAUUUCAAGUGGUGAUUUAAGUAGUAUUGAAAGUUCAUAACUCUAAUUUUUACCAACUCCCAUCCAUGAGAAUAGAGAUAUAAGGGAAUUGCAAUGUUAAGCAAAUCCACUGUGUAGUAACUGAGAGUAGCAUUUACAUCAAUAGCUACUGGGAAUAUAACACCAUUAUACAUGACUAUAUGUGAACAGUGGAAAAAAAAAAUGAUCCAUAGAGAAAUGCCAAUUUGUAUGGUUAAUUGAGAUUCAAGG